UACACUACUCAUUGCACUUACUAACUAGCCUCUUUCUCUUCCCAAACGUUCUUCUUCUUCUAAAACCGUCUCUAGAUCGUUUCUCUUUCAAACACUCGGCUCUCUCCAUCUUUCAGAAUAAAACUCCUUCCUCUCUCUCCUAGCCUUCCUCUCUCUCCAAGCCAAAAUGGCGACGCCUUCACUCUCCUUCUCCAAUGAACUACUUGCCUUUUCCGUUCCAAUUCAUCUCCUUCUGCUUCGAUUCCGGUCAGAUGCAUCUCCUCAGAUGGUCUUCUCCCUCCGUUCAUCUUCUUCGUUUGAUAGGUUUUGGAUGCACCUGCGUUGCAAGACAAUUUUUAUCUGAAUCUGGUGGAUUGGUCUUCGCACAAUGUGUCGAUAUUGGCCGGAAGGAUGAUGCUCGCGGCGACCCUUCACAGUUGUCGGGUUUAAUUAAACGGAAAGCUUGAUCUGUAGACAAAUCACGAUACAUGGCGCAUCCAACCCAAAACGCGAAAGAGAUUUGAAGAAAAUACCGGUCUGUUAUGGGAGCACAAAAUCGAGAUUUAAUUAAAAAUCAUAGUGAAAAUAUCAACCACAAAAUACAACAAGAAUCAAUCAGAUGCACAAUUCAAUUUUAUUUAGAUUCAAACACAAUAAAGCAGAGCAACAAUAAUUCGAGAGAAUUUUACAGGAACGGGUUCAAAAUAACUCAAUGCAAAAUUGGAAUUUCAUCACAAUGAAGAUGGAACUCUCAAUUAGCAGAGGUUGCCCUUAGUGAGGGUAUGCACUUAGCUUCUGCAGUGAGGUAGUUACAACAACCACACUUGGCUUGAUGAUAUGCUGUCAAGAGGUGAAAUAUAUUCUCAUGUAUAAUGCUUUGGCCCUUGAAUCUGUUUAAAGAGGGAUGCUGCGGUGAGACUAUUUUUCCUUGGGGGGAAGAAAGCGCCUAUCAAUACUCAAAAAUCUUGAAUUAUUGCCUAUUGAACAUUGAUGUUUGAGUAUUUUUCACUCUGAAGAUUAUACCAACAGAAGUUACUAUUGUAGGCAGUACAUGCUGCACCUUGGUUCUAAUGCUGUCUCAGGAUGGGAAAAGGCAGAAGCUGAGGCUUUGGCAUUGAAUGAUCAUCUAGAAUCAGUUACUCUUUCGAAACUCACUGUUGAUGACUGUGCGUCGCAUCUAUAAUCUCUGGUCCUGGAAUCGUGGGUGGACUAAAAUUUAAGGUCUGUAUAGAUAGGACAGCAAUACAACACUCCUCAUUCUGUAAGUUUUUUUCAUGUUACCAUUCAUCCUUUUCAAGUUGCCAUUCUGUAAGUUUCAAACUGUGGUAUAUGGAGCUAUAGUCCAUGGCAUGAUCGGAUUAGACUGGACCGAUCAAAAAUUAUUUUGGUAUAUAUUCUUUAUGUUCUUCACAUUGCUCUACUUUACCUUCUAUGGUAUGAGGAGGACAAGAAUUUCCAUGUUGUUUUAAAUUCUGAAUAGCUGACCGCUAUCAUGUCACCGAGUAUUUGCGAUCUGCGGCAUUCGGUAAAGCAAUUCAAGCUCAUGACCUGCAUACAAGUGUGGAUGUUUCUAUUAAAAUUAUAAAGAACAACAUGGAUUUCUUUGAUCAAAGAGUUGAUCAGAUCAAACUCCUUAAGUAUGUCAAUAAGCAUGCUCUUGGAGACAAGCAUCACAUUUUGUGGUUAUAUGAUUACUUCUACUAUAGAGAACAUUUGUUAAUCGUAUGCGACCUACUCAAAGCCAACUUCAUGUAUAAUGUUUCAUAAAUUUAACAGAGAAUCAGUAGGGGAAGUUUACUUUACAUUGCCAAGAUUGCAGAUGAGAUCGCAAAGCUGUUUCCGAACCUGUUCGGGCAACCGUCGGCGAUGCGGGUGCCGAAUGGUUCUAAUACUGUGAUGCUUAGCAUAAGUUGAAGAUUGGCGUGGUUUUGUCCGCUGGUCAAUCUCCUGGAGGACACAAUGUGAUUUCUGAAAUUUUCGAUUACCUUCAAGAUAGAACAAAAGGAACCAUACAUAAUGGUUUACAUGGUAGGAAACUAACAUUAGUUCACAGUUAAGUUGAGUCUGUGGAUAAGAAUUUUCAGAUCGCACUAGGGGGCGCUAUUCCUGGGAUUUCUUCAAUAGAUAUAGUCAUUUGAGACAUAUCUGUCCGUUGCGAUUCUGGCCUUUAACUAAAGUGCUCACGGAGAAGUAUGACUUUUAUUGAGAAACAUGCAAGUGACAUGAGUGACUUUUUGUUUUCUAUCCUUGAAUUUAUUGAGUUUAUUCCUGUGAAACAACCUACAGCUGAUCAAUGCCUAUUACAUCCAUGGAUGAAUGCAGCUCCGCGUACUUUGGAACCAUCAGUAUCUUCUAAUCACAACCCUGCCGCUGAAACUGUUACUUCUGACCAGAAGAAUAAGGAAAAAGAUGAGAGGAAGGCAUUGGAAGCUGGAAUGGGAAAUAUUGCUAUCAAUUCAGAUUUUAAACCACUCAUGCAUUCUCCAUCAAAUAAAAAUCCUCUCAAGGCAGCCGCAAGUAGUUCAUCUUGAAAGAACUUUUAUAAGUGAUUACAAACACAUUAAUUGCUAAUAUCUUUCAAGUUUGCUCAAAUAUGUUCUUUUAUCACUCUAAACAUUCUUUUACUCCCUCCUCGCCUAUUUUGUUUUGGUUAUGCUUAAGUUCUCUAUGUUGGUCGGGGAAGGGGAUCGAUGUUCUAAUUUUUAGUUCCAACUCCGUUGUUGUUCCCAUGAUAUCUUCCUUUUUGGUUUCCUUAAUGCCAAUCAGUGUUAGUGCUCAAAAUCAGCAACGACUUCAACUGCAGCAAGAGUCUGGAUCAACACCAGUUUCAGUUUCCUACGCUUCAUUACAUUGCUGACUUGGAUAUCCCAAUUAAGAGGCAGUCUCAUGGCUCUAUGUUGUCCCAACCCCACAAGGAUUUUAACAUGUAGUGGGUUGUGUAGCUUAUUGAUGUUGUUGAUGGUCUUAUGGCUAAGAUGUAUAGGUUAAAUCAACUUUUGAAUUAUCCGGACCCCAUCAAUCAUGUAUUUUCGGGUGAUUUAUAUGUGAUUUUACAGAUUCCACCAUAAUGGAUGAAGAGGCUGCUUCAGGAGGAGAGUUUGAGUUUGAAAGGUUUCUAACUUGCAAUAUUGAAGCUAGACCAGAAGUACUUCACGAGGUGGACAUGAUGUGCAUGAAUACAUGCAUAAGUAAGUACUUCACGAGGUGGACAUGACACCAAUAAUAUUGUUAGCAGUAUCAAGUCGCAGAAUUAAUCAGGGUGAGAAUAAGGGUUAUUGUUGUGGGUUUUGCAGCGUGUGAAUCUCGGUUCUGCAAUGGUGUGAAAUGGGUUUUUUGCUGCAGAUGAAAAAAUCUCCAUGUUCUCUGUGUUGUCGGGUCAAUUAUACAGUGAAAGGAACCAUAACUCAAAUCUCCAACUGUGGUGGCUCCAACUGCUGCUGCUGCUGUAGGUUUAGCAUUCUCCAGCUAUGGAUUUCCACAAGCUGGCACUUGCGUUGAGUAACACUGGUUUUGAAAAUCUGAGGUGAGAAACACUGUUGAGACAGCGGUAAAGGUGGGUUUUGUUCACUAUUGAAAACUAGUGAUUUGGUAGCUUAAAAGACGAGUCUUUAUAGGUUUUGUUUUUUGCCCUUCUUUUUUUUGUUCCACUUCUUGGUUUGGUAGCUUGUGGCUGACAAGAUAUCAACAAGUAUCAAUUUAUGUUUUGAAUUAGAAACUCUUGUUGAUGAUUCUUUGAUUCUUUUAAAGGCGUGUGUGAAUUUUUCAUAUUCUAUACUGUAGUGUUUUUCAUUUUAGUGUUACCAUUCUGGUUGGAUAAGAUAGCAUCUUGUCAACAAGGUUGUCAUGUCUCAUGUUCCUUUCCUGUUCACUUUGAAAUCUUUUCUUCACUGCUACUACUUCAUUUAUUGAGCUUUCAUUCUUCACAAGUUUUCACAACUUGUGAAGAUUCUUUGGAACUGUUGUGGAUGAGUUUGCUCCAUGUAAUUGGGUUUGGUCUAAAAGAUCAAUUUAUUGGGGAGAAGAUAUUGGGGAGUGUGUGUAGAAUUAAUCAGCAAUAUUAUCAGUGUAUUGGGUUUAAAAAAGUUAGGAGAAAGUUAUGGAGGAAAUUGUUGUUGACAUGGGUUUUGGGUUAGUGUAUAGUGUCUUUGUGGAUCUUUUGUUUUAUGAAUCUGCAAGUUACUGAGAAGAGGAAAGAGACUCUUGCUAGUAUGUGUGAUGAAAGAGCUAGGAUGCUACAAGAUCAAUUUAAUGUUAGUAUGAAUCAUAUUCAAGCCAUGUCGAUCUUCAACCAAUUAGUUUUAUCUGAUUAUUCACGCAUUUAGGUUUAACUACUCUUAGUUGUUUUUCGUAUAAUCAUCAGAGGGAUUACUCCUUUCUCCCAGCACUUUGCAGCUGAACCAACACCAUGGAGGGACAAUCUUCUAAUGAAGGUUCCAGUACCGGCAAUGUCUCAGCAGACUCUUCUGAUUCAACUGUUCAGCUCAAUAUUGAAACUUUAGAUUCCCGCAUCUACAGUUUUCAAGUUGAAAAAAAUAUACCCGUUUCCUUGUUCAAAGAAAAAAUUGCUAGUGAAAUAGGUGUACCGGUUAAUCAGCAACGACUCAUAUUUAGAGGAAAAGUCCUCAAGGAUGAACAUGUCCUUUCUGAGUAUCAUGUUGAGAAUGGGCAUACGUUGCAUUUAGUUGAAAGACAGCCAAAUCCGCCUCAGACUUCUGGUGCGGGUUCCGUUGAGACAACUAGUACAAACAGUAACCGAGGAAACGGUGCUGGAUCAGGAGCUCCUCGUAACCGUGUUGGCCAAAUUUCACACAGCGUGGUUCUUGGGACUUUUAAUGUGGGGGAACAAGUUGAAGGCACUGCUCAAGACCUUACUAGGAACCUACGACACCUAAGCCGAUAGUAAUUGUACUUCAAGAGAGUUUGAAGCAGCUAAAGAAAAGUUUAGCAUGCUGCAGAGAAUUCUCUUUGGGAAUAAGAGUGAGAAGUGGAGGACAUAGCUAUGAAGGUACUUCUUUUGUUGCUGUUGACAGUAUUCUUUUUGUCAUCAUUGACAUGAUGAAUUUAAACCAUGUUAAGGUUGAUAUGGAGACGAAAACAACGUGGGUUCUCAGCUAUCUCUCAGGCAAGUGAUGCUAAUUGAAAAUGUCACAUGAGAGAAUCGUAACUUGAGUUUAGUAACUGUACAUUGACUACGUGUAUACGUCCGAUCGUGUUUCAUGAAUUUGACACGUUGCAAAGAUGAUCUUCUGAAAGUAAUAUUAUGACGUGACAAAAUAGUUGAACUUGAUCGCGUGUACUUGUUAACUUUAUUUACAUUGUUGGUAAUAUAGUUAUUAUAUUACUUUCUAUAUUGUACGGUGAAAUGCUAAUGCUAUGUGGUGCACCGAUUUGUCAAUACACUGAUAUGGAUAUUUUAAAAUUUGAUAUAUGAUAGACCUGGGGUACAUGUUUGAAUAUGCUUUAAAAAGUUCAUGGAGGAUAUUUACUUCCUAGAUGUUACCUCUUAAAACUACUACCUGGUUUUGGUUGUAUGCUGUAGGGUUUGGACUUUGGACCAGAGUAGUCAAUAGCGGCACUAUCCCGCUAUAACAGAGCAGAGGCUGGCCGCUAUGGGAAGAGCCUUCACGGUGCAAAACACUAUACUGUAGCUCACUCAAGGAAUAGGUCUUCUAAGACAACUAGUGAUUUUGAUAGUCCUCGUUCUGUGUUUCUUGAACGAGCAUUUUCGUCAUAUUCUCGAAGGGGCACUAUCAACGGCUCGGUAUGGUUACCAUUGAUACAUGUGGCUCUUGUAAUAAUUUCUUGUGUCUUGUUUUUUUGCAUACAGAAAACAAUUGCUUCUCCAGGACGUGGUAUUUUGGCCAUGGAUGAAUCCAAUGCUACAUGUGGAAAGCGGUUGGAUUCAAUUGGACUAGAGAACACCGAAGCUAACCGUCAAGCAUGGCGUAAAAUUAUAUAUGAAGAAAGUGUUAUGACUUAGUUAAAAUAUAAUUUUUAUGUGUAUGAUUUUAUAAUACUUGAAAUAUUAUGACUGUACAUGAUUUUGUAUACUUUUUGGUUAAUAUUAAAAAUAUUUUGACUUAGUUAAAAUAUGAUUUUUAUGUGUAUGAUUUUAUAGUAUUUGCAAUAUUAUGACUGAAAAUGAAAUAUAACUAAAUGGUGUGUAUGAAAUAGGGUGUAAAUAAA